rnacentral:rRNA from 1 species
AACGAACGCUGGCGGCAUGCCUAACACAUGCAAGUCGAGCGAGACCUUCGGGUUUGGUCGCGCACUCGUGCGUAGCCCGUUGGGACCUGCCCUUGAGUUCGGCAUAACUCCCCGAAUGGGGUGCUAAUACCGGCUCAUAUCUUCGAUCCAUAGUUUUAUCGCCUUUGGAUGGUCCUGCGUUGUAUUAGCUUGUUGUUAGGCUAAAAGCGUAUCACUGCUACGAUAGAUAGCUGGUAUGAGAGGAUGAUCAGCGACACUGGUCGUGAGAGACGGUCCAGAAUACUACGGGAGGCAGGAGUGGGGAAUACUGGAAAAUGGGCGAAAGGAUGAACGAGUAAGGACGGGUGAGUGAUGAAGGUCGGAGGGAAGUAAAGUUAGUUUACCCGGGAUGAUAAUGACAGUACCGGGAGAAUAAGCUCCGGCUAACUCCGUG